AGGGGCAGGCCCUGCGCCCUGGUAAAUACAGAGCUCUGUCCAGCACUCCCAAGAGCUGUGCGUCCCUGUCUUCCUGGCAGGAAGCUUGACCCAGAUCAGCCAUGACGACCUAUAGUGACAAAGGAGCAAAGCCGGAGAGAGGCCGAUUCCUUCACUUCCACUCUGUGACCUUCUGGGUUGGCAAUGCCAAGCAGGCUGCCUCCUUCUACUGCAGCAAGAUGGGCUUCGAGCCACUAGCCUACAGGGGCCUGGAGACGGGCUCCCGGGAGGUGGUCAGCCAUGUGGUCAAGCAAGGAAAGAUUGUGUUUGUCUUCUCCUCUGCACUCAACCCCUGGAACAAAGAGAUGGGCGACCACCUGGUGAAACACGGGGAUGGCGUGAAGGACGUGGCUUUCGAGGUGGAAGACUGUGACUACAUUGUGCAGAAAGCCAGAGAACAGGGGGCCAAGAUAGUGCGGGAGCCCUGGGUGGAGGAAGACAAGUUUGGGAAGGUGAAAUUUGCUGUGCUGCAGACGUUUGGGGACACCACCCACACUCUGGUAGAGAAGACGAACUACAGCGGCCGGUUCCUGCCUGGAUUCAAGGCCCCCCUGCUCAAGGACUCCCUGCUUCCCAAGCUGCCCAGGUGUGGUCUCGAGAUCAUCGAUCAUGUUGUCGGAAAUCUGCUUGAUCAUGAGAUGUCGUCUGCCUCAGAAUGGUACCUGAGGAACCUACAGUUCCACCGCUUCUGGUCUGUGGAUGACACACAAGUGCACACAGAGUACAGCUCUCUGCGCUCCAUUGUGGUGACCAACUAUGAGGAGACCAUCAAGAUGCCCAUUAAUGAGCCCGCAAUGGGCAUGAAGAAGUCCUCGAUCCAGGAAUAUGUGGACUAUAAUGGGGGAGCUGGAGUCCAGCACGUCGGUCUCAAGACCCAGGACAUCAUCACAACGAUAAAACCCAGAGUCUCGCAUGUGGGAGGCGAGCGCUCUACCACUGAGUCACAACCCCAGCCCACCAUCCCUGGUCUUAAGACUCCUCUCUUCAGCUCCAGGGAAAUUCUCUGCAGAAUGGGGAGGGAGGGGGCAGUGGCAGUCUGGGGUUCCCUUCUCCAGCCUAGAGGGCUGACAGGGUUCCUUGCCUGGUUCCUGCAACUCCUGCUGCCACCCCCAUCCAGCAUGGGCAGCUGACCUAGGUUUACGAGUGUGAAUUUGUGGUGAAGCAAAAUAAAACACAGACACAAUUUACAUUUACACAAGCUUCAGGAUGGCUUCCCCAGGCUCUGGGCCUCAGGCUCCAGAAGGCAGAGAAAGACAAAGUCAGGAGAGGCUGAUGAGAGAGAGAGCAUGUUGGGAAGUGAGCUUUUAUUUGGGGGAGCACUGUUCUUAGAAAGUUCCACCCCCCAAAAAAAGAGCAGAAAGUGUAGAAUUACAAGGGGGCAGGUGAGUGUAACUCAACCUCAGAAGUAUGCCUACACCUGAAGACCUUGCUAUCUGAGCUGGGACAAGGCCCAAGUCACUACAAAAUGUAGUGAUUGGUCAGAGCCUCGUGCUUCAGGACUGGAAGAUGUGAUCAUUCAAAGCGGGUCCCCACACCUGUAUUCGCAACUUGCAAGAGAGAGGCAUGGAGUUCCUGACUGUACCAUCAACCUAUUACAAGCAACUUCGGGAGAAUCUCAAGACAGCCAAGAUCCGGGUGAAGGAGAGCAUUGACGUGUUGGAGG